GCCGCGGUAGCUCAGUGGUUAGAGCGGGCGUCUCAUAAGCGCCAGGUCGUGGGUUCGACUCCCACCCGCGGCA
rnacentral:tRNA from 3 species